UACGUAGGUGGCGAGCGUUAUCCGGAUUUAUUGGGUUUAAAGGGUGCGUAGGCGGCUUUUUAAGUCGGUGGUUAAAGGUAGCAGCUCAACUGUUUUACAUGCCAUCGAAACUGAAGAGCUUGAGUUAUCAGGAGGCAGGCGGAAUUUCUGGUGUAGCGGUGAAAUGCAUAGAUACCAGAAGGAACACCUAUUGCGAAGGCAGCUUGCUGUAGAUACACUGACGCUGAUGCACGAAAGCGUGGGGAGCGAA
rnacentral:rRNA from 1 species